rnacentral:rRNA from 1 species
UACGUAGGUGGCGAGCGUUGUCCGGAUUUACUGGGCGUAAAGAGCUCGUAGGCGGUCUGUCGCGUCGGUCGUGAAAACUUGGGGCUUAACCCUGAGCUUGCGGUCGAUACGGGCAGGACUGGAGUUCGGCAGGGGAGACUGGAAUUCCUGGUGUAGCGGUGAAAUGCGCAGAUAUCAGGAGGAACACCGGUGGCGAAGGCGGGGCUCUGGGCCGAUACUGACGCUGAGGAGCGAAAGCGUGGGGAGCGAACAGG